rnacentral:rRNA from 1 species
AGAGUUUGAUCCUGGCUCAGGAUGAACGCUGGCGGUAUGCUUAACACAUGCAAGUCGAACGGAAGUCUUCGGACUUUAGUGGCGGACGGGUGAGUAACGCGUGAGAACCUACCCUUAGGACGGGGAUAACAGUUGGAAACGACUGCUAAUACCCGAUGUGCCGAGAGGUGAAAGAUUUAUCGCCUGAGGAAGGGCUCGCGUCCGAUUAGCUAGUUGGAGUGGUAAUGGCACCCCAAGGCGACGAUCGGUAGCUGGUCUGAGAGGAUGAUCAGCCACACUGGGACUGAGACACGGCCCAGACUCCUACGGGAGGCAGCAGUGGGGAAUUUUCCGCAAUGGGCGCAAGCCUGACGGAGCAAUACCGCGUGCGGGAGGAAGGCCUUUGGGUUGUAAACCGCUUUUCUCAGGGAAGAAGUUCUGACGGUACCUGAGGAAUCAGCAUCGGCUAACUCCGUGCCAGCAGCCGCGGUAAUACGGGGGAUGCAAGCGUUAUCCGGAAUCAUUGGGCGUAAGCAUGCGUCCGCAGGUGGUUUAUCAAGUCUGCUGUCAAAGCGUGGAGCUUAACUCCAUAUCGGCGGUGGAAACUGAUGAACUAGAGGGUGGUAGGGGUCACGGGAAUUCCCAGUGUAGCGGUGAAAUGCGUAGAUAUUGGGAAGAACACCAGCGGCGAAAGCGCGUGACUGGGCCAUUACUGACACUCAUGGACGAAAGCUAGGGGAGCGAAAGGGAUUAGAUACCCCUGUAGUCCUAGCUGUAAACGAUGGACACUAGGUGUUGCCCGUAUCGACCCGGGCAGUGCCGUAGCUAACGCGUUAAGUGUCCCGCCUGGGGAGUACGCACGCAAGUGUGAAACUCAAAGGAAUUGACGGGGGCCCGCACAAGCGGUGGAGUAUGUGGUUUAAUUCGAUGCAACGCGAAGAACCUUACCAGGGCUUGACAUGUCGCGAAUCCCCUUGAAAGGGGGGAGUGCCUUCGGGAGCGCGAGCACAGGUGGUGCAUGGCUGUCGUCAGCUCGUGUCGUGAGAUGUUGGGUUAAGUCCCGCAACGAGCGCAACCCACGUUUCUAGUUGCCAGCAUUCAGUUGGGCACUUUAGAGAGACUGCCGGUGACAAACCGGAGGAAGGUGUGGAUGACGUCAAGUCAGCAUGCCCCUUACGUCCUGGGCUACACACGUACUACAAUGCUUCGGACAGAGGGUUGCCAGCCCGCGAGGGUGAGCUAAUCCCGUAAACCGAGGCUCAGUUCAGAUUGCAGGCUGCAACUCGCCUGCAUGAAGGCGGAAUCGCUAGUAAUCGCCGGUCAGCAUACGGCGGUGAAUACGUUCCCGGGCCUUGUACACACCGCCCGUCACACCAUGGGAGUUGGCCACGCCCGAAGUUGUUACCCUAACCGUUUUGCGGAGGGGGGCACCUAAGGCAGGGCUGAUGACUGGGGUGAAGUCGUAACAAGGUAGCCGUACCGGAAGGUGUGGCUGGAUCACCUCCUUUUAGGGAGACCUACCCACUUAGAGAGCGCAGGGUGAGGAGAGAGGAGAGAGGAGUUGGAAUGAACUUCUCUCCAAGCCUCGAAUCAUCGGAGCAAAUGUAAGAUGCAUCUCCUAAGUUGGUCAUCCCAAGGUCGGUCGAGGUAAAAGGUAAAGAUGGCUUUCAAGCUAGUUGGGUUCGGGAAACGGGCUAUUAGCUCAGGUGGUUAGAGCGCACCCCUGAUAAGGGUGAGGUCCCUGGUUCGAGUCCAGGAUGGCCCACCUUUGAAAGAGGGGAGACAAACAAAAACUCUAAGGGAAAAGAGCUCGAGAGGUCUGAGCUGAACGAGAGAGUUUUGGACAGUUGCUCUUUCAUCUGGGGGUAUAGCUCAGUUGGUAGAGCGCCUGCUUUGCACGCAGGAAGUCAGCGGUUCGAGUCCGCUUACCUCCACUGAACGACGGUAGACGGCGUUCAGGCUAUGGAAGGAAGCUUUCAGCAAGGUCUUGGGCAAUGCCAGGGACAACUGCUGGAAGGAAACUUCCAGAAAAGGAACCUUGAAAACUGCAUAGAGAAGAGAAGUUGUAAGGUAGAACGAAGACAGUACCAAUGGAUAGUGGUCAAGCUAUCAAGGGCUGACGGUGGAUACCUAGGCACACAGAGGCGAAG